GACAGAGGAUGGCAAGUGUUAUCCGGAAUCACUGGGCGUAAAGCGUCUGUAGGUGGUUUAAAAAGUCUACUGUUAAAAAUUGAAGCUUAACUUCAAAAGAUGCCGUAGAAACUUUUAAAACCUUGAGGAUGGUAGGGGUAGUAGGGAAUUUCCAGUGGAGCGGUGAAAUGCGGUAGAUCUUGGAAAGACCACCAAUGGCGAAGGCACUCUACUGGGCCAUGACUGACACUAAGAGACGAAAGCUAGGGGAGCAAAUGGG
rnacentral:rRNA from 1 species